AAAAAAUGAACCUGGGGGUAGGUAGGCAUGGGCCGGUAUGAGAUUCUGACGGUAUGAUAACCUUCAACAAAAAUGUCAUGGUUUCACAGUAUUACAGUAUUGCAAUGACAGUUAUAAAUGUAUUAUUUUUUAAAUGUCUGGGU